CUAUUUAAGAAAUGUCUCAAUAAUAUCGUGCUAACACCUUAUACAUGUAAAGAAAGCACAAGCAAUUCCCUUCGUAAAUCAAUUAGACAAAAAGAGCAUUUCAAUCAAGUUUAAUUAGUCAAAAUUCCAACAUCUAAACAAUUAAUUUUGUACUAAUACUAGAUUAUAUAGUUGUUAAUAUUUUAAUAAUAAUAUAUAUGAAUUGUAUAUGUAACUAUAUACUUCGGUAUGGUAUUCGGUAUUUCGGUAUAUUUUUUAUAAAUACCAAAUACCGUACCAAAUACCAAAUUUUUUAAAAAUGCAUACCAAAUACCACAAUACCAAAACCACGGUACUCCACAACUACUCUCAAUACCACCCAAACACAAAAGCAAGUAAAUUCUCUUUGGCAAGGAGGCUCCCAUUCAACAUGCAAUCUAUUCCAAAUCUUUGUUCCAAGGUAUUCCUUUUUCAAGGCAUGGAUCAAUUUGCUGAAGUUCCAAACAGUGUUCGUUUCUGACAGAGGGAAGUUAUCAGCGUUAUCUAGAGCAAAUGCCUAAGAGUUUAUUGCCUAAGAGAGGCUUCGAUAUGAUUAAGGUGGAUGUUCGUGCUCCAAACUUCUAUAACUGACUGCAUGUGCUUUUUGUUUUUCUUCACUUUCUUUUGAUACUUUUAAUUGAACCAAAGGGCAUAUCUUUUGUUUAAGGCAAAACGUGGGCUAGUCCACGAUUUACAAAAAACAUUUUUGCCAAACGCGGACUGAUCCAUGAUAUACCUUAUUAA